rnacentral:lncRNA from 1 species
CUUUCUCUGAGAUUUCUGCACUGAAGUGUAAUUUGUAAUUUAAAAAUAAGGCAUGUUACUCAAACUGCAUUCCUUCUUUCCUUGUAUCUCUUCUCUUCUUUCCAUCUUAAUUCUGUUUUUCAAAGGCUUCCUCUGCUUAUCUGUCAUGUUCUCCUUUCCCAAAUACUAUUCUUUUUAUAAAAUACUCCAUAUAGCUACCAUCUGCUUCCUCCUCUACUUUUUGUAAUGUUCCUGACUGAAACUGCUUAUGCACAGAAUCAUAAGCUUUUAGAACUCAAAGAUAUUUCAUGCACUGCUGUAUGCGACCACACGUCAGGCCAACUCCUGGACAGACAGUGGACGUAGCACACGGUCUCUGCUCCCAUGAGCCCAACAGCUGGAUUGCGGACAUAGCAGAAACAAAAAAAUAAGAAAGACAAAAAAGGGAAAAGAAAACUCUGUGUCCCUAAACAUCACAGGAAAACCUCGUGAGAAGAUAUGUGGACUGCUCAGAGACACAUUUCAUGAGGCUCCUCAGAAGUACUGAGCAACGUAGGUCCAAGACUGUGGCCAAUACAUACCCUUCUGUCAACUUCUCUCCCUUCCUUGCCUCAUUUCUCUUAUGUUUCUUUCACUUCUGAGCUUUGAGACCAUUUCCUAAAAAACUGCUUAUAAGUAGGGCUUUUUUCUAAGUUUUACUUCAGGAAACAUUCACAGUGACACCUCUCAACUGAAAGAUUGGUUAUAGAGGCCAGAAAGAUGAGGAAAUUCGUCAAGGAGCUACAGUGAAGACUAGAAACAAUACAUCCUGACAUAUUUUUAGUGCAUUUGCCACCGCACCAUAAAUUCUCUCCACAUUAUUGUUUGGCUCAGCUUAUAAUGUUAUUUAUGUACUAAGUGUUUUGGUUAUUA